rnacentral:rRNA from 1 species
AUUGAACGCUGGCGGCAGGCCUAACACAUGCAAGUCGAGCGGAUGAAGGGAGCUUGCUCCUGGAUUCAGCGGCGGACGGGUGAGUAAUGCCUAGGAAUCUGCCUGGUAGUGGGGGAUAACGUCCGGAAACGGGCGCUAAUACCGCAUACGUCCUGAGGGAGAAAGUGGGGGAUCUUCGGACCUCACGCUAUCAGAUGAGCCUAGGUCGGAUUAGCUAGUUGGUGGUGUAAAGGCCUACCAAGGCGACGAUCCGUAACUGGUCUGAGAGGAUGAUCAGUCACACUGGAACUGAGACACGGUCCAGACUCCUACGGGAGGCAGCAGUGGGGAAUAUUGGACAAUGGGCGAAAGCCUGAUCCAGCCAUGCCGCGUGUGUGAAGAAGGCCUUCGGAUUGUAAAGCACUUUAAGUUGGGAGGAAGGGCAGUAAGUUAAUACCUUGCUGUUUUGACGUUACCAACAGAAUAAGCACCGGCUAACUUCGUG